GACGAACGCUGGCGGCGUGCCUAAUACAUGCAAGUAGAACGCUGAAGGAGGAGCUUGCUUCUCUGGAUGAGUUGCGAACGGGUGAGUAACGCGUAGGUAACCUGCCUGGUAGCGGGGGAUAACUAUUGGAAACGAUAGCUAAUACCGCAUAAUAGUAGAUGUUGCAUGACAUUUGCUUAAAAGGUGCAAUUGCAUCACUACCAGAUGGACCUGCGUUGUAUUAGCUAGUUGGUGGGGUAACGGCUCACCAAGGCGACGAUACAUAGCCGACCUGAGAGGGUGAUCGGCCACACUGGGACUGGGACACGGCCCAGACCCCUACGGGAGGCAGCAGUAGGGAAUCUUCGGCAAUGGACGGAAGGCUGACCGAGCAACGCCGCGGGAGGGAAGAAGGGUGUCGGAUCGUAAAGCUCUGUUGUAAGAGAAGAACGAGUGUGAGAGUGGAAAGUUCACACUGUGACGGUAUCUUACCAGAAAGGGACGGCUAACUACGUG
rnacentral:rRNA from 1 species